rnacentral:rRNA from 1 species
AGAAUCAACGCUGGCGGCGUGCCUCAGACAUGCAAGUCGAACGCGAAAGGUUCCUUCGGGAACCGAGUAGAGUGGCGCACGGGUGAGUAACACGUAGGUAAUUUGCCUUUGGGUGGGGAAUAACAGCCGGAAACGGCUGCUAAUACCGCAUAAUGCAGCGGCUCGACAUCGAGACAGUUGUUAAAGCGGGGGAUCGCAAGACCUCGCGCCUAAAGAGAAGCCUGCGGCAGAUUAGCUUGUUGGUAGGGUAACGGCCUACCAAGGCGACGAUCU